UACGUAGGGGGCGAGCGUUGUCCGGAUUCAUUGGGCGUAAAGAGCUCGUAGGCGGCUUGGUUAGUUGGGUGUGAAACCUCCAGCUUAACCUGGAGACGCCACUCAAUACUGCCAUGGCUAGAGUCCGGUAGGGGACCACGGGAAUUCCUGGUGUAGCGGUGAAAUGCGCGAUAUCAGGAGGAACAGCCGGUGGCGAAGGCGGUGGUCUGGGCCGGCACUGACGCUGAGGAGCGAAAGCGUGGGGAGCGAACAGG
rnacentral:rRNA from 1 species